AAAGCGCACGUAGGCGGCUAUUCAAGUCAGAGGUGAAAGCCCGGGGCUCAACCCCGGAACUGCCUUUGUGACUGCAUAGCUAGAGUACGGUAGAGGGGGAUGGAAUUCCGCGUGUAGCAGUGAAAUGCGUAGAUAUGCGGAGGAACACCGAUGGCGAAGGCAAUCCCCUGGACCUGUACUGACGCUCAUGCACGAAAGCGUGGGGAGCAAACAGGAUUAGAUACCCUAGU
rnacentral:rRNA from 1 species